rnacentral:piRNA from 1 species
UGAACCCAUGUACAGGUUCAUAGGGA